AUCUCUCAUUCCCUCAUUUCACUCUCUCUCAUCUCUUAGCUCCGUCUCAUCUCUCUCUUUCUACAAGUGUAGAAAGCCCACGCCAUACCAUACCAACCUCGCUAGAACGACAAGCAUCGACCCACCACCACCUGCCACUCCGAUGGUGGCCACUACAUCGGGCGUCAAAAAUCCAGAUCACCACCUCACCCUGUUCCCUGCACUCUCAAACUCUCUCACACUAUGAAAACCAGUGCACCCGUGCACUGCACCACCAUCACCCACCGUCUUCUCCGGCGAGCUCCACAAGAGAUAUGGAACCGCACCAGACCACCAAGUCGUAUCCCUCCCUGUCCCUCUCGUCCUCCUAUGCUCUUGGUGUUUCGCGCACGCGAACUCUCUCUCUCUACUCUCUGUGCACAGAAGCACUGUGCAACCACAGUGAAACACAUCGCAAGGAUCUUCGAUGCCCGCAAGGUGGGUUCGACUCAAUGACAUGAUUUGCCCACUCACCCUUAUUUUUCGCUCUUCCAAGUUUUAGCGGCUAAGCUUUCGUGUCGACGAGGAUUUCUGGCAAACUGUUGUUGUUGGGAUACUACCGACAGUAUAAUUCAUCUUUUGCCUUUACUAUGCUCUAACAUCACGUGUGAAAUGAGUUCAUUCCCGCUCACAAUUGUACUCUUAUAUUUAGGCAUUUGUAGGUUUAAAUUUAUUCACAUUUUGCCACAUCACUAUACUUCAUGGCUUCGUCACCCUUCAGGUGUUGGCCAGCACAGCUCGAUUCAGAGUCUAGGUGAACAUUUCGAGUCAGAGUGUGUCAGCCUUGCUAAAAUAUUUUUAUUUUAUUAUUAUACUUUGUUAAAAUUAUUUAAUUUUAAUGGUGUUUGUUAGAUAUUUUUACCACCUGAAAAAGUAGGGAUAAAAACACUUAAAAAUACUUGCAAGAGUACAAGGUUGUCGUAGUAUAGCAGCUCAAGCAAUGUUGUUUUCCACAGGGAUUGAAUGAAUAAUUUAUGUAAAUACCAAAUCUUAAUUAACUAUUUGAAAACGAAGUUUAGAAAAUGUAGAUUUUAUGACCUAAAAUAUUAAAAACGAAUUUAACUAAAAAAACAAUUAAAUAAAUUGCGAAAGUAAAGAAAAUAGUUUAGAAAAUAAAUUUGAGCCCUAGGGUUCCGCCGUCACUUUAACAUUCCUAUGUAGUUUUUUCAAUUACUUAUGAAUUACACAUGCAUACUUUGAAGGUUAGGUUUUCCUAAAGUAUGCUCUACUUGGAACCUCUAACACAGAACGUAUAUCUAACAUGCAACUCGUCCGUGGCGUCUAGAUCGAAUGUGAACAUGCAAGACUCGUUAAGUUUUAUGAAAACUUUUUGAAAAACCACAUAACUCUUAAGACGUGUUGUCCAUCCUAAGAAGUUACACAUAUUAACCACAAGAAGCCAGCGCCAAUUCCAGAGACAGCCCUCCGCCAAAAUUGCAUCAAAUUACUUUUUUAAAUACCCUAAUGGUGGCCAAUCAUUAAGACAAAUAGAUAAUUUAAAGCAUAAUGAUUAAAUAUAUGGUACAAUAUGGACUCAUCAAUGUUUAUACAAGCGUGAAUUUUCAUGCACAUAAAAUAUACAUUGACUUUUCUUGCCAAUCCAAACAUAUGCGUAUAUUGAUUAGAAAGGCUAAAAUUGUAGAGUUGAUACAAAUGAACUUAUUAAUAAAAAUACUUGGAGCAUAUUUUUUUAAUAAAGGAUAUUAUUUAUAAUAAGAGGGAAUUUGAUCCAACAAUGAACCAGUAAUAAUGUAGUUCAAAUUUACUUUUGACGAUAAUCGAAUUUAAAAUAAAAGAUGUAUUUUUUUUUAAUAUGAGCAACAUUGUAAAAAGAGAUUCAAACAAAAAGAACCUUUGGUGCAAAAAAAAAAAUAAAAUAAAAUAAAAAAUCUUAACCACCGAAUCUCUCCGUGAACAUCUUUUUUAUUCAAAAUUGUGGCAAUUCUUUUCCCGUUAAUUAAGUUAGGCUUUUUUCAGUCUUGUCAUGAUUAACCUAUGCCAAUUGGUUUUUUUUUUUAUUGUAUUUAAUCAUGAUCUUCAUCCUUGUUACUCCAGAGCCCAUUAGUAAUUUCACAAACAGACGACAGCCAACUAGAUCACCGACGGCUGCUAGAGAUUUGGAAAACAUCCACACCCACCCAACCUUUCCCCCCGGCGAUUUAUUUGAACUUGUGCAUCCACAUGUUAUAAAUCACUAGUUUCAUCAUAAAUAUUAAGCUCAUUUAAAAGUGUUUUUAAAAUGAUUGCAGAGAAAAAUAUUUUUAGGUUUCAAAAGUACUUGAAACGUUUUCUUCAUGAAGCAUUAGUUCUAUGUUUUCUGUAUCAGACACUUCAAGUAUUUUUUUCAAGAUUCACUUACAUUUUUACUAAUUAAAAUACCAAAAACAUUUUCACUAAAAUUACUUUCAACCAUUUUAAAAAUAUUUCCAAAUAUUAACCUUCUCCAAUCCCAACUCACAAAAGGUCUCCCCCCGUACUAUUUCUUGGGUUCUUACUUAGUAAACAAAAAGUACAUUUAUAAAAUGGUAGAGUUGAUGAUUUAUUUU